UACGUAGGGCGCAAGCGUUAUCCGGAAUUAUUGGGCGUAAAGGGCUCGUAGGCGGUUUGUCGCGUCGGGAGUGAAAUCCACUGGCUUAACUGGUGGCUUGCUUUCGAUACGGGCAGACUGGAGGUAUGCAGGGGAGAACGGAAUUCCUGGUGUAGCGGUGAAAUGCGCAGAUAUCAGGAGGAACACCGGUGGCGAAGGCGGGUCUCUGGGCCGAUACUGACGCUGAGGAGCGAAAGCGUGGGGAGCGAACAGG
rnacentral:rRNA from 1 species